rnacentral:rRNA from 1 species
AUUGAACGCUGGCGGCAGGCCUAACACAUGCAAGUCGAACGGUAACAGGAAGCAGCUUGCUGCUUUGCUGACGAGUGGCGGACGGGUGAGUAAUGUCUGGGAAACUGCCCGAUGGAGGGGGAUAACUACUGGAAACGGUAGAUACUACCGCAUAACGUCUCAAGACCAAAGAGGGGGACCUUAGGGCCUCUUGCCAUCGGAUGUGCCCAGCUGGGGUUAGCUAGUAGGUGGGGUAACGGCUCACCUAGGCGACGAUCCCUAGCUGGUGUGAGAGGAUGACCGGCCACACUGGAACUGAGACACGGUCCAGACUCCUACGGGAGGGAGCAGUGGGGAAUAGUGGACAAUGGGCGCAAGCCUGAUGCAGCCAUGCCGCGUGUAUGAAGAAAGCCUUCCGGGUGUAAAGUACUUUCAGCGGGGAGGAAGGGAGUAAAGUUAAUACCUUUGCUCAUUGACGUUACCCGCAGAAGAAGCACCGGCUAACUCCGUG